UGGUUAUUGUGUCAGAUCAUUUGGGGUUAUUACCCUUAUCAAAUAUGUUGAAUUUAUUUUGCUUAUGAUACUACCCUUGUUCUCAUGAAAAUGGCAUGAUUGUUAUAAAGUUAAAGUGUUUAUCCCUUAUUCUGAGUGUUGGUAGGUAAUAUCUCUAUACUGGAGAUGAACAACAUGUUAAGCAAUAUCUAUACAUGUAUCAUUUGGUGUUGAGUAAUGAAUGCAUUUGGUUUGCA
rnacentral:lncRNA from 1 species